rnacentral:rRNA from 1 species
UACAGAGGCCCCAAGCGUUACUGAGAAUCACUGGGUUUAAAGGGUGCGUAGGUGGCGCGUUAAGUCCGUUGUGAAAUCCCUGGGCUCAACCCAGGAAAUGCUUCGGAUACUGGCGUGCUUGAGGCUAGUAGGGGUCACUGGAACUGACGGUGGAGCGGUGAAAUGCGUAGAUAUCGGGAGGAACACCUGUGGCGAAAGCGGCUCACUGGACCACAACUGACGCUGAUGCACGAAAGCUAGGGGAGCAAACAGG